UCCCUGGUGGUCCAGCAGCUAAGACUCCAUGCUUCCAAUGCAGGGAGCCCUGGGUUCAAUCCCUGGUCAGGGAA
rnacentral:tRNA from 1 species